rfam:Schistosoma mattheei strain Denwood, Zambia genome assembly, scaffold: SMTD_scaffold0018777
GUCCAGCUGACGAGUCCCAAAUAGGACGAAACGCGCGUCAAACUAGAU